GGACUACACGGGUAUCUAAUCCUGUUCGCUCCCCACGCUUUCGCUCCUCAGCGUCAGAACAGGCCCAGAGAACCGCCUUCGCCACCGGUGUUCCUCCCGAUAUCUGCGCAUUUCACCGCUACACCGGGAAUUCCGUUCUCCCCUGCCUGCCUCUAGCCAGCCCGUAUCCACUGCACGCCCGGGGUUAAGCCCCAGGAUUUCACAGCGGACGCGACAGGCCGCCUACGAGCUCUUUACGCCCAAUAAUUCCGGACAACGCUUGCGCCCUACGUAUUACCGCGGCGGCUGGCAC
rnacentral:rRNA from 1 species